rnacentral:rRNA from 1 species
CUGUCGAGCUUGCUCACGGGAUUUCAAUCAUAUCCAUAACACCUGUGCACUUGUUGGAUGGUAUAACAGAGCCCUAGUGGUGAAGUUUUCCAUCUAAUUUACACUAAACAAUCCUGUAACAAAUGUAGUCUUAUUAUAACAUAAUAAAACUUUCAACAACGGAUCUCUUGGCUCUCGCAUCGAUGAAGAACGCAGCGAAAUGCGAUAAGUAAUGUGAAUUGCAGAAUUCAGUGAAUCAUCGAAUCUUUGAACGCACCUUGCGCUCCUUGGUAUUCCGAGGAGCAUGCCUGUUUGAGUGUCAUGAAAACCCUCAACCUUAGAUUGGUUAUUUGACCUUUCUUUGGCUUGGAUUUGGACGUUUGCCGAUGAUAAGUCGGCUCGUCUUAAAAGUAAUAGCUGGAUCUGUCUCGCGACAUGGUUUGACUUGGCGUAAUAAGUAUUUCGCUAAGGACAUCUUCGGAUGGCCCUGUUGCAGACUAAAGACCGCUUUCUAAUCCAUUGAUCUUCGGAUUAAUAUUCAUAACAUCUGGCCUCAAAUCAGGUAGGACUACCCGCUGAACUUAAGCAUAUCAAUAAGCGGAGGAAAAGAAACUAACAAGGAUUCCCCUAGUAACGGCGAGUGAAGCGGGAAGAGCUCAAAUUUGAAAUCUGGUAGCCUUCGGUUGCCCGAGUUGUAAUCUAGAGAAGUGUUUUCCGCGUUGGCCCAUGUACAAGUCCCUUGGAACAGGGCGUCAUAGAGGGUGAGAAUCCCGUCCUUGACAUGGACCCCCAAUGCUUUGUGAUACACUUUCAACGAGUCGAGUUGUUUGGGAAUGCAGCUCAAAAUGGGUGGUGAAUUCCAUCUAAAGCUAAAUAUUGGCGAGAGACCGAUAGCGAACAAGUACCGUGAGGGAAAGAUGAAAAGCACUUUGGAAAGAGAGUUAAACA